GUACGUGUGCGGUUCGUCCGCCGCGUCACCAUUCUCCUCUUGUCGUUGUUGCUCCGGGGCCCCAUUAGCCCCGGUUUUUUUUG
rnacentral:ncRNA from 1 species